rnacentral:rRNA from 1 species
ACGUACCGGACAAACGUUAUUCGGAAUCACUGGGCUUAAAGAGUACGUAGGCGGCUUUGUAGGUGAGAUGUGAAAUCCCACGGCUCAACCGUGGAACUGCGUUUCAAACCACAAAGCUUGAGGGAGACAGGGGUGAGCGGAACUGAUGGUGGAGCGGUGAAAUGCGUUGAUAUCAUCAGGAACACCGGUGGCGAAGGCGGCUCACUGGGUCUUUUCUGACGCUGAGGUACGAAAGCUAGGGUAGCGAACGGG